rnacentral:sRNA from 1 species
GAAUCAGAAUGAUGAUGUGUUCAGUCCUACAAAUCUAUUUAGGAGGAUUAGCUUUAGUAUUAUCUUACGAUGAUCUAUCCUUAAAUAAAGAUGCCACCCAAUCACAUACCUACACAGGCUCGAGUAGCAUGUAUAAUGCACGCAAUGCAGUUGAUAGAAACCUUAUUACGUGUAUGAGGACAAAUAACGUAGGACCAAAUUCUCCGGAAAAGACUGUUUGGUGGAAAGUUGAUCUUGGUUGGGUGUACAGUAUUUAUAGUGUGACCAUUUUAUUUAGAAACUACAACGGUCAUGAUGGUUAUCAACUAGCAAAUGCUUACACCGAACUGUGUGAAGUCAUUGUUGAAGGCUGUCAGAAUUCUACUGUGUAUGGUAGUAACUGUGAUAAACCAUGCCCUAUCAACUGUAAGGACAACAUGUGUCACAUACAACUUGGACACUGUUUUGCAUGUCCACCUGGAUGGACAGGAAACUCCUGUAUUACAAAAUGUAUAGAAGGAUGGUACGGUAGCAACUGUAGUCAGCAAUGUGUAGGACAUUGUAGAAGUGGGAAAACUUGUAAUCACGUGACUGGUCAGUGUGACAGAGGCUGUGAUGCCGGAUGGACAGGCUAUUUUUGUAACAAAGAAUGUGAAGACGGAGAAUAUGGUUUUGACUGUGUCAGCACAUGCAGUGGUCACUGUUUUGGAGAUUCUCCCUGUAACAAACAUACUGGCCAUUGCGAGAGGGGAUGUAAGGUUGGAUACCUAAACAGUGACUGUGGCACAACAUAUAGUCAGCAGUCUCCAACGACUUUAACAAUAUCGAUCGCCGGGUUUACAGUUUCACUAGUUAUCAACAUCAUUGUCAUCAGUGCGAUAAUGCCUCGGAGAAGAAAAAAAUUGUUCAACUGGAAUAAUAUCCAGUGUUGUUUGAGGACCACGUUUAAAACAGAACAGAAUAACACCGAAGACGAGGAACCGCAUUACCAAGAGCUCAAGGAAAGAAAGAAUGAAAACAAUUAUCAGAAUUUAACAUAA